rnacentral:rRNA from 1 species
CCCCUUAGACGUUCUGGGCCGCACGCGCGCUACACUGACCAGUGCAACAAGCAUCCGUCCUUGGCCGACAGGCCCGGGCAAUCUUUGAACGCUGGUCGUGAUGGGGAUAGACUUUUGCAAUUUUUGGUCUUCAACGAGGAAUUCCUAGUAAACGCAAGUCAUCAACUUGCAUUGAUUACGUCCCUGCCCUUUGUACACACCGCCCGUCGCACCUACCGAUUGAAUGGUCCGGUGAAGCCUCCGGAUUGGCGCGCACCUCGGUGCCGCCGAGAAGUUGGCUAAACCUUACCAUUUAGAGGAAGGUGAAGUCGUAACA